AGCUCCAAUAGCGUAUAUUAAAGUUGUUGCAGUUAAAAAGCUCGUAGUUGAAUUUCGGGGUUAGUAGGUUGGUCAUGCCUCUGGUAUGUACUGGUCUCACUGAUUCCUCCUUCCUGAUGAACCGUAAUGCCGUUAAUUUGGUGUUGCGGGGAAUCAGGACUGUUACUUUGAAAAAAUUAGAGUGUUUAAAGCAGGCAAACGCUUGAAUACAUUAGCAUGGAAUAAUGAAAUAGGACGUUUGAUCUUAUUUUGUUGGUUUCUAGGAUCGACGUAAUGAUUAAUAGGGAUAGUUGGGGGCAUUAGUAUUCAAUUGUCAGAGGUGAAAUUCUUGGAUUUAUUGAAGACUGACUACUGCGAAAGCAUUUGCCAAGGAUGUUUUCAUUAAUCAAGAACGAAAGUUAGGGGAUCGAAGACGAUCAGAUACCGUCGUAGUCUUAACCAUAAACUAUGCCGACUAGGGAUCGGAUGAUGUUAAUUUUUU
rnacentral:rRNA from 1 species